UCGACUGUUUAUCAAAAACAUAUUUAAUAGAAUUAAUUAUUAAUAAAUCCUGCUCAAUGAAUUUUAAAUAGCCGCAGUUCAUACUGUGCUAAGGUAGCAUAAUCAUUUGUCUUUUAAUUAAAGACUAGAAUGAAUGGAUAUACAUUUCAAUUAUUACAUAAAUUUAAAAUUUUAAAUUUAUUAUAAAUGUAAAAAAACAUUUAUCUUAAGAAAGACGAUAAGACCCUGUCAAACUUCACUCAAGUUUAACUGGGGAAGUAUAUCAAUUAAAAUUUUAAUUUAUAAUCUAUAAAGAUAAGACCUAUUACAAUUAAUUAUACGAUCAAGUUACUGUAGGGAUAACAGCGCAAUUUUUUUCAAUAGCUCUUAUAUAAAAAAAAGAUUACGACCUCGAUGUUGAAUUAAUUUCCUAUUAAAUGCAAAAAUUUAAUUAAGGAAGUCUGUUCGACUUUUAAAUUUUUACAUGAUUUGAGUUCAAACCGGUGUAAACCAGGUCGGUUUCUAUCUU
rnacentral:rRNA from 1 species